GUGGGGAAUCUUGCGCAAUGGGCGAAAGCCUGACGCAGCCAUGCCGCGUGAAUGAUGAAGGUCUUAGGAUUGUAAAAUUCUUUCAUCGGGGACGAUAAUGACGGUACCCGGAGAAGAAGCUCCGGCUAACUUCGUGCCAGCAUCCGCGGUAAUACGAAGGGGGCUAGCGUUGCUCGGAAUUACUGGGCGUAAAGGGCGCGUAGGCGGACAGCUUAGUCAGAGGUGAAAGCCCAGGGCUCAACCUUGGAAUUGCCUUUGAUACUGGCUGUCUUGAGUUUGGGAGAGGUGAGUGGAACUCCGGGUGUAGAGGUGAAAUUCAUAGAUAUUCGGAAGAACACCAGUGGCGAAGGCGACUCACUGGCCCAAUACUGACGCUGAGGCGCGAAAGCGUGGGGAGCAAACAGGAUUAGAUACCCUGGUAGUCC
rnacentral:rRNA from 1 species